rnacentral:rRNA from 1 species
UUGAAAAAAUUGAUUAAGUCUUCGAUCGAUUAGUAUUCGUCAGCUCCACGUGUCACCACGCUUCCACCUCGAACCUAUUAACCUCAUCAUCUCUGAGGGAUCUUAUAACCGAAGUUGGGAAAUCUCAUCUUGAGGGGGGCUUCAUGCUUAGAUGCUUUCAGCACUUAUCCCGUCCAUACAUAGCUACCCAGCUAUGCCGUUGGCACGACAACUGGUACACCAGAGGUAUGUCCAUCCCGGUCCUCUCGUACUAAGGACAGCUCCUCUCAAAUUUCCUACGCCCACGACGGAUAGGGACCGAACUGUCUCACGACGUUCUGAACCCAGCUCGCGUACCGCUUUAAUGGGCGAACAGCCCAACCCUUGGGACCGACUACAGCCCCAGGAUGCGAUGAGCCGACAUCGAGGUGCCAAACCUCCCCGUCGAUGUGAACUCUUGGGGGAGAUAAGCCUGUUAUCCCCGGGGUAGCUUUUAUCCGUUGAGCGAUGGCCCUUCCAUGCGGAACCACCGGAUCACUAAGUCCGUCUUUCGACCCUGCUCGACUUGUAGGUCUCGCAGUCAAGCUCCCUUAUGCCUUUACACUCUAUGAAUGAUUUCCAACCAUUCUGAGGGAACCUUUGAGCGCCUCCGUUACCUUUUAGGAGGCGACCGCCCCAGUCAAACUGCCCGCCUGACACUGUCUCCCACCACGAUAAGUGGUGCGGGUUAGAAAGCCAACACAGCUAGGGUAGUAUCCCACCAACGCCUCCACGUAAGCUAGCGCUCACGUUUCAAAGGCUCCUACCUAUCCUGUACAAGCUGUGCCGAAUUUCAAUAUCAGGCUACAGUAAAGCUCCRCGGGGUCUUUCCGUCCUGUCGCGGGUAACCUGCAUCUUCACAGGUACUAUGAUUUCACCGAGUCUCUCGUUGAGACAGUGCCCAAAUCGU